GUUUACAUGACAAACCGUUUUACCCCAAGCGCUUUGAAAGCGCUUUGCGGUUGCGUUUACACAGCAAUUAAUCACUUCCUUCAAAGCGCUUUGUAAGCGCUUUGAAGGUUGCGUUUACACAGCAACUAACCACUUCCUGCACAAGCGACUAAUGAGUGAGCCACGUGGUCAGAUAAUAGUUUUGCAAAGAAGACAGAGAAGAAAGAAGAGGAUGAUCCAGUCUUUUGAGAGUCUUCAUGAGCAAUCAGGAGUUUUUUGGCCGGAGUGCCCUGGUGAAUCUGGCUGAAUCUGACUUCCAUCUGCACAAAAUGAUUGUAGGGUAAGGGUCAGGGUCAGGGUCGGAGUCAGUGUCUAGGGCGGCUUCAGUGACCGAGUUUCCUGAAUCUAAGAGAGUGAUGGGUGUAGAAGCUGGCCUAUGCCCAAGAAUGCUGUCCAACUCUUUGUAAAAUUUGCACUGUUUCCUUCCAUUGCCAGUUUUGUUAUUGUGAUCUUUGAUUUCUUUGUAGCUUGUUUUAAGGUUUUUAACUUUAGAACGGCACUGUUUCCAAUCCCUGGUGUGUCCUUGUUUUUGCAAUUUUUUUGCAAUUUUUUCAUA